rnacentral:rRNA from 1 species
GGAUGACGUCAAGUCAUCAUGGCCCUUACGCCUAGGGCUACACACGUACUACAAUGGUGCAUACAAAGGGCAGCGAGACCGCGAGGUUUAGCCAAUCCCAAAAAAUGCAUCCCAGUCCGGAUCGGAGUCUGCAACUCGACUCCGUGAAGUUGGAAUCGCUAGUAAUCCCGGAUCAGCAUGCCGGGGUGAAUACGUUCCCGGGCCUUGUACACACCGCCCGUGGGG